AUUGAACGCUGGCGGCAUGCUUUACACAUGCAAGUCGAACGGUAACAGGGUGCUUGCACCGCUGACGAGUGGCGAACGGGUGAGUAAUGCGUCGGAACGUGCCGAGUAGUGGGGGAUAACGCAGCGAAAGUUGUGCUAAUACCGCAUACGUACUGAGGUAGAAAGUGGGGGACCUUCGGGCCUCACGCUAUUCGAGCGGCCGACGUCUGAUUAGCUAGUAGGUGAGGUAAAGGCUCACCUAGGCUACGAUCAGUAGCGGGUCUGAGAGGAUGAUCCGCCACACUGGGACUGAGACACGGCCCAGACUCCUACGGGAGGCAGCAGUGGAGAAUUUUGGCCAAUGGGCGAAAGCCUGAUCCAGCCAUGCCGCGUGUCUGAAGAAGGCCUUCGGGUUGUAAAGGACUUUUGUCAGGGAGGAAAUCCCUAGUGCUAAUAACACUGGGGGAUGACAGUACCUGAAGAAUAAGCACCGGCUAACUACGUGCCAGCCGCCGCGGUAA
rnacentral:rRNA from 1 species